UUCCUUGCAAGGUCCUCAUGUCUGUCAGACAGUUUUCACUUGACCUCGACCUCAUUUCAUGGAUCAGUGAACAAGGUUAAGUUUUGGUGGUCAAGUCCAUAUCUCAGAUACUAUAAGCAAUAGGGCUAGUAUAUUCGGUGUAUGGAAGGACUGUAAGGUGUACAUGUCCAACUGGCAGGUGUCAUCUGACCUUGACCUCAUUUUCAUGGUUCAGUAGUUAUAGUUAAUUUUUUGUGUUUUGGUCUGUUUUUCUCAUACUUUAUGCAAUAGGUCUACUAUAUUUGUUAUAUGGAAUGAUUGUAAGGUGUACAUGUUUCGCGAGAAGAUGUCAUGUGACCUUGACCUCAUUUUCAUUGUUUAGUGGUCAAAGUUAAGUUUUUGAGUUUUGGUCUUUUUAUCUAAUACUAUAUGCCAUAGGUCU
rnacentral:lncRNA from 1 species